rnacentral:rRNA from 1 species
AAUAUUGGACAAUGGGGGCAACCCUGAUCCAGCCAUGCCGCGUGAGUGAAGAAGGUUUUCGGAUCGUAAAACUCUGUUGUUAGAGAAGAACAAGGAUGAGCGUAACUACUCAUCCCCUGACGGUAUCUAACCAGAAAGCCAUGGCUAACUACGUGCCAGCAGCCGCGGUAAUACGUAGAUGGCAAGCGUUGUCCGGAUUUAUUGGGCGUAAAGCGAGCGCAGGCGGUUCUUUAAGGCUGAUGUGAAAGCCCCCAGCUCAACUGGGGAAGGUCAUUGGAAACUGGGGAACUUGAGUGCAGAAGAGGAGAGUGGAAUUCCACGUGUAGCGGUGAAAUGCGUAGAUAUGUGGAGGAACACCAGUGGCGAAGGCGACUCUCUGGUCUGUAACUGACGCUGAGGCUCGAAAGCGUGGGGAGCAAAC